rnacentral:rRNA from 1 species
GACGAACGCUGGCGGCGCGCCUAACACAUGCAAGUCGAGCGAGAACCAGGGCUUGCCCUGGGGACAGCGGCGAACGGGUGCGUAACACGUGAGCAACCUGCCCCAAAGACCGGGACAACCCGAGGAAACUCGGACUAAUACCGGAUGCCCUCACCGGGUCGCAUGGUCUGGUGAGGAAAUGGAUUCCGCUUUGGGAUGGGCUCGCGGUCUAUCAGCUUGUUGGUGGGGUAACGGCCUACCAAGGCGACGACGGAUAGCUGGUCUGAGAGGACGAUCAGCCACACUGGGACUGAGACACGGCCCAGACUCCUACGGGAGGCAGCAGUGGGGAAUCUUGCGCAAUGGGGGAAACCCUGACGCAGCGACGCCGCGUGCGGGAUGAAGGCCUUCGGGUUGUAAACCGCUUUCAGCAGGGACGAAAUUGACGGUACCUGCAGAAGAAGGCCCGGCCAACUACGUGCCAGCAGCCGCGGUAAUACGUAGGGGCCUAGCGUUGUCCGGAAUUAUUGGGCGUAAAGAGCUCGUAGGCGGUUCGGCAAGUCGGAUGUGAAAUCUCCACGCUUAACGUGGAGGGGCCAUUCGAAACUGCUGUGACUCGAGUCCGGUAGGGAGUGUGGAAUUCCCGGUGUAGCGGUGAAAUGCGCAGAUAUCGGGAGGAACACCAGUAGCGAAGGCGGCACUCUGGGCCGGAACUGACGCUGAGGAGCGAAAGCGUGGGGAGCGAACAGGAUUAGAUACCCUGGUAGUCCACGCCGUAAACGUUGGGCACUAGGUGUGGGACUCUAUCGACGGGUUCCGUGCCGUAGCUAACGCAUUAAGUGCCCCGCCUGGGGAGUACGGCCGCAAGGCUA